GGUCAAGUGAAGAAGCGCAUACGGUGGAUGCCUUGGCAGUCAGAGGCGAUGAAAGACGUGGUAGCCUGCGAAAAGCUUCGGGGAGUCGGCAAACAGACUGUGAUCCGGAGAUAUCUGAAUGGGGGAACCCAGCCAUCAUAAGAUGGUUAUCUUGUACUGAAUACAUAGGUGCAAGAGGCGAACCAGGGGAACUGAAACAUCUAAGUACCCUGAGGAAAAGAAAUCAACCGAGAUUCCCUUAGUAGUGGCGAGCGAACGGGGACCAGCCCUUAAGUUGUGUUGAGAUUAGCGGAACGUUCUGGAAAGGACGGCCAUAGUGGGUGAUAGCCCUGUACGCGAAAAUCCCUUUGCAAUGAAAUCGAGUAGGACGGGGCACGAGAAACCUUGUCUGAAUAUGGGGGGACCAUCCUCCAAGGCUAAAUACUACUGACUGACCGAUAGUGAACCAGUACCGUGAGGGAAAGGCGAAAAGAACCGCGGAGAGCGGAGUGAAAUAGAUCCUGAAACCGUAUGCGUACAAGCAGUGGGAGCCCACUUUGUUGGGUGACUGCGUACCUUUUGUAUAAUGGGUCAGCGACUUAUUUUCAGUGGCGAGCUUAACCGAAUAGGGGAGGCGUAGCGAAAGCGAGUCUUAAUAGGGCGUCUAGUCGCUGGGAAUAGACCCGAAACCGGGCGAUCUAUCCAUGGGCAGGUUGAAGGUUGGGUAACACUAACUGGAGGACCGAACCGACUACCGUUGAAAAGUUAGCGGAUGACCUGUGGAUCGGAGUGAAAGGCUAAUCAAGCUCGGAGAUAGCUGGUUCUCCUCGAAAGCUAUUUAGGUAGCGCCUCAUGUAUCACUGUAGGGGGUAGAGCACUGUUUCGGCUAGGGGGUCAUCCCGACUUACCAAACCGAUGCAAACUCCGAAUACCUACAAGUGCCGAGCAUGGGAGACACACGGCGGGUGCUAACGUCCGUCGUGAAAAGGGAAACAACCCAGACCGUCAGCUAAGGUCCCAAAGUCAUGGUUAAGUGGGAAACGAUGUGGGAAGGCUUAGACAGCUAGGAGGUUGGCUUAGAAGCAGCCACCCUUUAAAGAAAGCGUAAUAGCUCACUAGUCGAGUCGGCCUGCGCGGAAGAUGUAACGGGGCUCAAACCAUGCACCGAAGCUACGGGUAUCAUCUUUUGAUGAUGCGGUAGAGGAGCGUUCUGUAAGCCUGUGAAGGUGAGUUGAGAAGCUUGCUGGAGGUAUCAGAAGUGCGAAUGCUGACAUGAGUAACGACAAUGGGUGUGAAAAACACCCACGCCGAAAGACCAAGGUUUCCUGCGCAACGUUAAUCGACGCAGGGUUAGUCGGUCCCUAAGGCGAGGCUGAAAAGCGUAGUCGAUGGAAAACAGGUUAAUAUUCCUGUACUUCUGGUUAUUGCGAUGGAGGGACGGAGAAGGCUAGGCCAGCCUGGCGUUGGUAGUCCAGGUUUAAGGUGGUAGGCUGAGAUCUUAGGUAAAUCCGGGAUCUUAAGGCCGAGAGCUGAUGACGAGUGUUCUUUUAGAACACGAAGUGGUUGAUGCCAUGCUUCCAAGAAAAGCUUCUAAGCUUCAGGUAACCAGGAACCGUACCCCAAACCGACACAGGUGGUUGGGUAGAGAAUACCAAGGCGCUUGAGAGAACUCGGGUGAAGGAACUAGGCAAAAUGGCACCGUAACUUCGGGAGAAGGUGCGCCGGUGGAGGUGAAGCAUUUACUGCGUAAGCCCCUGCCGGUCGAAGAUACCAGGCCGCUGCGACUGUUUAUUAAAAACACAGCACUCUGCAAACACGAAAGUGGACGUAUAGGGUGUGACGCCUGCCCGGUGCCGGAAGGUUAAUUGAUGGGGUUAGCGCAAGCGAAGCUCUUGAUCGAAGCCCCGGUAAACGGCGGCCGUAACUAUAACGGUCCUAAGGUAGCGAAAUUCCUUGUCGGGUAAGUUCCGACCUGCACGAAUGGCGUAACGAUGGCGGCGCUGUCUCCACCCGAGACUCAGUGAAAUUGAAAUCGCUGUGAAGAUGCAGUGUAUCCGCGGCUAGACGGAAAGACCCCGUGAACCUUUACUAUAGCUUUGCACUGGACUUUGAAUUUGCUUGUGUAGGAUAGGUGGGAGGCUUUGAAGCGUGGACGCCAGUCUGCGUGGAGCCAACCUUGAAAUACCACCCUGGCAACUUUGAGGUUCUAACUCAGGUCCGUUAUCCGGAUCGAGGACAGUGUAUGGUGGGUAGUUUGACUGGGGCGGUCUCCUCCUAAAGAGUAACGGAGGAGUACGAAGGUGCGCUCAGACCGGUCGGAAAUCGGUCGUAGAGUAUAAAGGCAAAAGCGCGCUUGACUGCGAGACAGACACGUCGAGCAGGUACGAAAGUAGGUCUUAGUGAUCCGGUGGUUCUGUAUGGAAGGGCCAUCGCUCAACGGAUAAAAGGUACUCCGGGGAUAACAGGCUGAUACCGCCCAAGAGUUCAUAUCGACGGCGGUGUUUGGCACCUCGAUGUCGGCUCAUCACAUCCUGGGGCUGAAGCCGGUCCCAAGGGUAUGGCUGUUCGCCAUUUAAAGUGGUACGCGAGCUGGGUUUAGAACGUCGUGAGACAGUUCGGUCCCUAUCUGCCGUGGACGUUUGAGAUUUGAGAGGGGCUGCUCCUAGUACGAGAGGACCGGAGUGGACGAACCUCUGGUGUUCCGGUUGUCACGCCAGUGGCAUUGCCGGGUAGCUAUGUUCGGAAAAGAUAACCGCUGAAAGCAUCUAAGCGGGAAACUUGCCUCAAGAUGAGAUCUCACUGGAACCUUGAGUUCCCUGAAGGGCCGUCGAAGACUACGACGUUGAUAGGUUGGGUGUGUAAGCGCUGUGAGGCGUUGAGCUAACCAAUACUAAUUGCCCGUGAGGCUUGACCAUAUAACACCCA
rnacentral:rRNA from 1 species